rnacentral:rRNA from 1 species
AGAGUUUGAUCCUGGCUCAGGACGAACGCUGGCGGCGUGCUUAACACAUGCAAGUCGAACGGAAAGGCCCUUUCGGGGGUGCUCGAGUGGCGAACGGGUGAGUAACACGUGGGUGAUCUGCCCUGCACUUUGGGAUAAGCCUGGGAAACUGGGUCUAAUACCGGAUAGGACUACGGCCUGCAUGGGUUGUGGUGGAAAGC